UACGUAGGGGGCAAGCGUUGUCCGGAUUUAUUGGGCGUAAAGAGCGUGUAGGCGGCCCGACAGGUCCGUUGUGAAAACUGGAGGCUUAACCUUCAGACGUCGAUGGAAACCGUCUGGCUAGAGUCCGGAAGAGGAGAGUGGAAUUCCUGGUGUAGCGGUGAAAUGCGCAGAUAUCAGGAAGAACACCCGUGGCUAAGGCGGCUCUCUAGUACGGUACUGACGCUGAGACGCGAAAGCGUGGGGAGCGAACAGG
rnacentral:rRNA from 1 species